AUGGAUCAGACAAAAGGCCAAUGGGCAGCAGGUGAGGUCGCUGCUGUGAUCUCCUUCUGGUUGACCAUCCCUCCUCAGGAGAGACUAGACCCGGCCCUCGUCUCCCAGCCCUGCGUCUGGUGUGUGUUUUCUCAACACCUCAGUGGAACAAGAAAGGACCUAGCCUGCCAGAACCAAGGACACUGGGCUACACUCUGAGAAGUUCCUGAAUCUCUCCUGGAUGCUAACCAUCAUGUGACCAGAGAAAUUGGUAACGUUGUUUUGCCUGUUGAGAUGUUUAAUGACACAGAUCCUUUCAGUUUCCUGAUGUGGGUGAAGUGUGGAGCCCAGCAAUGAUUUCUUCAAGAAAUGUACAUCCUGACUCCCACACAAGGGUGAGCCCCCUGUUCAACAGUGAGACCCCCUGCAUGUGGGUGACCUGUGCCUCCUGGGAAGCCAGCCUUAAACUAGUCUGAACCUGACCAAGUUCCGUCUACAUGGUAGAUUUAGACCUCUCCAAGUCUUGUCUACACUGAUGCUGUUUAGAUGAGACCGUGCACUUUCUGCAAUGAGAACAUUUAGAUCUGACCUUGUACUCUCUGCACUGGGACAUGGAGACCCGGGUGGAGGCCUGGCCUGGCCUCUGUCCUGGAAAACUCCACCCCUGCGUCUGAGCGUCAGUGCUCAGAUGUCAGGGGUCUGGAACUGAGGUGGGCUUCUCUGGGUAACUGUGCCCUUCUCUGAGUGGGGUUCCAUGGCUCUCCUGGGGUUGGGGGGGCGGUCAGUGCUGCGGUAGGGUUUGUAGUCUUUCUCCCUGCCAGGUUCACCUUCCCUGGGGUCCUUGAGACUCCUCAGGUGGGAUAAUUAGUAUUUAUUCCAAUUUUCCAGCACAUUCAGGUUUAAUAGAGAGGCAGGUUCACCUGGUGAAUUGGUUCCAGGGCAAAGAGGUCGGGCAAAAAGUCAAUGGACAGCAGGUGAGGUUGCUGCUGUGAUCUCCUUCCAGUCCACUCUCUCCUCCGAACAGAACAGAGCUGCCCCUCGUCUUUCAGCCCAGCUCUCCUGUUUUCUUGGAGAAGGCAAUGGCAACCCACUCCAGUACUCUUGCCUGGAAAAUCCCAUGGAUGGAGGAGCCUGGUAGGCUGCAGUCCAUGGGGUCGCUAAGAGUCGGACACGACUGAGUGACUUCACUUUCACUUUUCACCUUCAUGCAUUGGAGGAGGAAAUGGCAACCCACUCCAGUGUUCUUGCCUGGAGAAUCCCAGGGACGGCGGGGCCUAGUGGGCUGCCAUCUAUGGGGUUGCACAGAGUCGGACAUGACUGAAGCGACUUAGCAGCAGCAGCUCCUGUUUUCUCAGCAUCUCAGCGGGACAAGAAAGACAGAGCCCGCCAGAACCAAGGUAGUGUGUUCACCUCUAGCAUGAGCUUUCAAACCAGAAAAAAAUCACACAGAACCAAAGUGAAAACAGGAGGGGCCUGACUUCUCAGAGACAACUGAGGGGAGAGGAGAUGGACCCUACACUUCUUUCUAGGGUCCUAGAGGUCCCAGGGACCUGGCUUGGUUACACAUUGGGGGCCCACCGACCACAGCCAUGGUGUCCUGACCGAGGGGAUGUGUGACCCCAGGUUGGGGGGUCAGGAGACUGUGCGAGUCUCACCUCAUCUCCACGGGUCAGGAUCAUGUGUGUGGGGAGACCACACACACAAAGCUAAGAAAAAGGGGAGAAUGUGCGCUUCACUUGUGUUUAGGAAUUAAUGCUUUACGGUGUUCACUUUAUACAGGCCUGUGCCUGUUUUCUUCUUACGCUCUCGAGGUUCACCCUCCCUGGGGCUCCUGAAGACUUCUCAGGUGUCUCUACCUGGUAAUCAU
ensembl:lncRNA